rnacentral:rRNA from 1 species
UACGGAAGGGGCAAGCGGUUGUUCGGAAUCAUUGGGCGUAAAGGGCGCGUAGGUGGCUCUGUGUGUCUACCGUGAAAGCGUACGGCGUCAACCCGUAUUUUGUCGGUAGAAACUGCAGGACUUGAGGCUGGGAGGGGCUGGUGGAAUUCCCUGUGUAGCGGUGAAAUGCGUAGAGAUGGGGGAGAACACUCGUGGCGAAGGCGGCGCUCUGGGCCGGAACUGACACUGAGGCACGAAAGCGUGGGGAGCAAACAGG